AACUUUCAGCAACGGAUCUCUUGGCUCUCGCAUCGAUGAAGAACGCAGCGAAUUGCGAUAAGUAAUGUGAAUUGCAGAUUUUCAGUGAAUCAUCGAAUCUUUGAACGCAUCUUGCGCUCCUUGGUAUUCCGGGGAGCAUGCCUGUUUGAGUGUC
rnacentral:rRNA from 1 species